CUAUGACAAUAUUUAGGGACACACUAUUCAGUACCCAAAAUAGGAUAAUACUUUGUUAUUUGGGCACUGAAUAGAGAGUACCCAAUUUACUGAUGAUUUUUUCUGGCCCAAUAAUUUUAAAACACCUGGCAUUUCAACUCUUUCAAUAUUUGGCUAUCUCUGUAACCAAACACCUCUCUUAUUCUCCAUCUUCUUUCCUUGCCCAGCCCAAUCCCGCUAUUUCUCCGGCGACCAUGGCUUCACUUUUGUUGAUGCCAUGGCAGAUCCACCAAAGGUUCUCCGUCUGCCCAACCACCCAUGUCUCUUAUCCCUUGUCAUCAAAAUCUGUUACAGGUUGACCAAUUUUUUUGUCGAAAUCACUUGCUGAUUGAUGUUGCAGAGAAUUUGGAGAAGUGGACGGGGUUCAGAUGGACGGAGGAGAGAUGGAUAGAGUGGAGGUGUGCCGCUAUGGUAGACGGUUGGAAGAGUGGGGAUGACGGUUGGACAAGGGAGCGGAGAUGGAGUCGACGAUUGGAGGAAAUAAGUUGGAGGCGGGUGGUUGGGACGAAGCAGAACGACGUGGCAUGGCAAGGAAAGAAGAUGGAGAAGAAGAGGAGGUGCAGUGAGUACCCAAGUAUUAUCGCCCAAAAAAUACUGACCUAGUAAAUGGCUACUAGUAUUGCAACACCUGUCCAUUUAAUAUUCAUAACCAAACACCAAUCCCACUUUGUACACGUAACCAAACACCCUUUUCAGUUUUCUCUUAGCCGUGUCGUUGCAAACCUGAUCAGCCUCGCCUUUUUCCAUGUCAAUCGAAACAAAACCUUCCAUAGAACCAUUCCAUAAUUCGCUGCCACCUUCCUCCGCCGCUGCCAUGGCUGCCACGAGAAAGAAGGGGACAUAUUGGGGCCGGAGUCGAUGGUAGAGACGGGGUGGGAACGAUGGAGGGGCGGGGUUGGGUCGACGGAGGAGACAGGGUGGUGGGAACAACAGAGGCAAGGGUUGAAGGAAGAGAGGGAUUGACUAGGACUUCCAAGAAGAAAGAAGAUGGGGCUUGGUUAUCCACAUAGCAAGAGACAGAUGUUACAAUAUUAUUGGUCCAUGAGUAUUUUGUUACUAGUUAGUCAGUACCCAAGUAUUAUCCUUCAUGGAAUUACAAGAAUUACACGUGUCUUAAUUUUACUAGUCCAUGUAAGUGUGCAGUAAUAUUUGGGUAUUGAUUGG
rnacentral:lncRNA from 1 species